rnacentral:rRNA from 1 species
GACGAACGCUGGCGGCGUGCUUAACACAUGCAAGUCGAACGGAAAGGCCCUGCUUUUGUGGGGUGCUCGAGUGGCGAACGGGUGAGUAACACGUGAGUAACCUGCCCUUGACUUUGGGAUAACUUCAGGAAACUGGGGCUAAUACCGGAUAGGAGCUCCUGCUGCAUGGUGGGGGUUGGAAAGUUUCGGCGGUUGGGGAUGGACUCGCGGCUUAUCAGCUUGUUGGUGGGGUAGUGGCUUACCAAGGCUUUGACGGGUAGCCGGCCUGAGAGGGUGACCGGCCACAUUGGGACUGAGAUACAGCCCGGACUCCUACGGGAGGCAGCAGUGGGGAAUAUUGCACAGUGGGCGGAAGCCUGAUGCAGCAACGCCGCGUGCGGGAUGACGGCCUUCGGGUUGUAAACCGCUUUCGCCUGUGACGAAGCGUGAGUGACGGUAAUGGGUAAAGAAGCUCCGGCUAACUACGUG